AAAAACGUGUGAGCGAUCGCUCUCGACUAAAGUCGAUUUCGCCCGGAUGCGUCUCGGACAAGCGCUCAGCUUGCAUUGAAGCAUUUGGUUCGCCGGCACUUUGGUUUUGUCAUCUGUACCUUUGUACAUCUCCCUCGCAGAUUCUUCCCACACAUAUAACAGACUCGCGAAUACGAGGCGGCCCCACCACCUUUUCUGGAUCAACAUCGUCGUCCUCGUGGUUUCUUCCGCAGCUCUUCUGCUCUUCUCCAUUGGCCGCGGCACAAAGGACCUUUUUUUGCCAAAGAGCUUCCUCAACAGUGGCCCCCUUGUCGUGCGAAUUUUCGUAGCCAUCCACCAGGCGCACGUUGCCUCCAAAGGGAAAUUUAUAAUCCGUAUAUAAACUGUUAUUUGUAAGUAAUAUUAUUAUUUAUAAACUAUUAAUUCCGAAAAAUCGUAUAACUUUUCGUCCUUAACUUUGAAUAAUUUUGUUAUUAAAUUUUAGCAUGUAUACUAUCGCGGAGGGAUUAUUAGAGAAAGAAGUACUGUGGGAUACAUCAGGACUCUAUUCGUAAAUAUUAAUAAUAUUAUAACAAAAGUAUCGAUUUAUGAGUCUGUAGUAAUUACUGUUUUAUAAUAAUCGCCUCAAUUUAUACAUUUAAAGAUCCUUAUUCAGGACACAGAGCAUCACUCACUAUCAAGACAGCGUUAUUGAUGCUGACCGUGACACGCGUAACACCCCGGCUUACAGUGUCAUGUAUUGUAAAAAAAUCCCGCGUUUCACCGCCAGAAGCACACGCCUCGUCCUCCAAGUUUGCCGUUAGCCUCUUAUUACACAGCCGCGUCUUCGAACCUGAAGUGGCGGUUUUUUGCCGUAAUGACGAGGACGAGUAGCAUGUGCUUGGUCUGCUUGUAAUAAGAAUGCCAGGCAAACGGGAACGGCGUGUGAUCAUGCGUGUUGACAUAAAAAGCGAACAAUUUGAUAAUUCACGAGGGGAAAAAAAGGGCGGAUGGUUGACGCGCCUCGUAAGGGUUUCGGAGCAAAGUUUAUUUGGUCGACCGCUUCCUGUUCCGCGUUUCCGAGCGCCGACAGUUUUGUGGUCGCAGCUCCCACGCUAUCAGAAUAUCGUAAAAAAACAGAGAGCGAAAGACUUUUAGGUCUUUAAAAAAGAUUAAGAUAUUAUAAUCGCCGGAAAAAAAAAAAAUUCAAUACGAUUCCAAGAUUGCCGAAGCUUUCUAUAAUUAUAAUUAAAUACUGCGGCAAUGUUAUUAUAAAUAUCGUUCGCAGCGUGAAAUUUAUUUCGCACGCAUACUCUUUUACAUAUAUACCAUUAAUGGACGAUUAUUAAAACUCGUUUGUAUCUCAAACUGUCAACUUUAUUCGGUUGAUUUGUUGCACGAUUAUGUAACACACACACUAGCACGUCCGUCUGACAUGAAAGAGGUUUACACUCGUGCCCUCGCGUCUCAUCCUCACUUAUACAUUUAUGCUUCGUAUUAGACAAAAGAAUCGUUUUCAUAUAUUCGGACAGUUCCCGGGAUAAUAUUUCCGCGCGUGAAAGAAAAUACGCGAUAAAAAGAAAUGUAUUACAACUCGUCGAUUUCUAGAAGGAGCUUUUUUUACACAAGACACAACCAAUCGAAUUAAUAUUAAUAGGUAUCAGUAAAUAUAAUACAUAAAUACACAAGGAUCUAAUGGUAAAAUACGAAUCUUAUAUUGGUCUUAUUAUUUCUAUAUAAUUUUGACAAUAUUUCCUUUCUUUCACACAUGUGUCAGCGGGUAACACGUAUUAAUCUAAUAAAUACUGACAGAAUCGUAUUCAUAGAAUGGGAAACAACGCGUAUUCUUAAUU